rnacentral:rRNA from 1 species
AUUGAACGCUGGCGGUAUGCUUAACACAUGCAAGUCGAACGGUAGCAGGCCUUCGGGCGCUGACGAGUGGCGGACGGGUGAGUAACGCGUAGGAAUCUGCCUGGUAGUGGGGGACAACUUGGGGAAACUCAAGCUAAUACCGCAUACGCCGUACGGGGGAAAGCGGGGGAUCUUCGUACCUCGCGCUAUCAGAUGAGUCUGCGUACCAUUAGCUAGUUGGUAGGGUAAAAGCCUACCAAGGCGACGAUCUAUAGCUGGUCUGAGAGGACGAUUAGACACACUGGGACUGAGACACGGCCCAGACUCCUACGGGAGGCAGCAGUGGGGAAUAUUGGACAAUGGGCGCAAGCCUGAUCCAGCAAUACCGCGUGUGUGAAGAAGGCCCUAGGGUUGUAAAGCACUUUCAAUAGGGAGGAAAACCUGCCGGUCAAUACCCGGUAGCUUGACAUUACCUAUAGAAGAAGCACCGGCUAACUCCGUGCCAGCAGCCGCGGUAACAC